UAGGUUCCUCUCCCGUUUAUACCAAACGUGUCUAAGCAAGAAAUCGGUGACAAAUACAUUCCUGCCGAGUUCAAGUUGGAUACAGUAGCGAAUACACCAUCAGACCGUGCAAGUGCUCUGCAUGGUGGGGAAGGAGAGCCAUUUGAGCAGUCUACGUUUGUGGGUGACAAAGGCAAUCUGCACACAUGAUUUCGUUUGUAGGAUUUUUGUGGGAUAUCGUACAUUUCAAGUUGAUCGUGAUUGGAUAGGAGGAAUGAACUGUUCUAGGUUCAUGUUUUUAUUAUUCUUGUAUUGUCGUCUAUUAGCAGUGUAUGUGAAGUUUUCAACACUAGAAUGUGUUCAGCAGUUAAUUAAAGUGUUUGACAGUGCGUCUGUA